rnacentral:rRNA from 1 species
UACGUAGGGGGCAAGCGUUGUCCGGAAUCAUUGGGCGUAAAGAGCGCGUAGGCGGUCCGGUAAGUCGGUUGUGAAAACUGGGGGCUCAACCCUCAGAGGCCGACCGAUACUGCCGGGCUAGAGUCCGGAAGAGGCGAGUGGAACUCCUGGUGUAGCGGUGGAAUGCGCAGAUAUCAGGAAGAACACCAACGGCGAAGGCAGCUCGCUGGGACGGUACUGACGCUGAGACGCGAAAGCGUGGGGAGCGAACAGG